rnacentral:rRNA from 1 species
UGGGGAAUUUUGGACAAUGGGCGAAAGCCUGAUCCAGCAAUGCCGCGUGUGUGAAGAAGGCCUUCGGGUUGUAAAGCACUUUUGUCCGGAAAGAAAUCCUCUGGGUUAAUACCUCGGGGGGAUGACGGUACCGGAAGAAUAAGCACCGGCUAACUACGUGCCAGCAGCCGCGGUAAUACGUAGGGUGCAAGCGUUAAUCGGAAUUACUGGGCGUAAAGCGUGCGCAGGCGGUUUUGUAAGACGGAUGUGAAAUCCCCGGGCUUAACCUGGGAACUGCAUUCGUGACUGCAAGGCUAGAGUAUGGCAGAGGGGGGUAGAAUUCCACGUGUAGCAGUGAAAUGCGUAGAGAUGUGGAGGAAUACCGAUGGCGAAGGCAGCCCCCUGGGCCAAUACUGACGCUCAUGCACGAAAGCGUGGGGAGCAAACAGGAUUAGAUACCCUGGUAGUCCACGCCCUAAACGAUGUCAACUAGUUGUUGGGGAUUCAUUUCCUUAGUAACGUAGCUAACGCGUGAAGUUGACCGCCUGGGGAGUACGGUCGCAAGAUUAAAACUCAAAUGAAUUGACGGGGUCAUGCUG